rnacentral:lncRNA from 1 species
UGGAGUCUUGCUUGAGCGGGUCUCCUCAGCGGCUGCUGGAUUAGGUGCGUCCUUGCUCGAGCGCGGUGGCCAAGGCGUUUGGCUGAUAACACCAACUCCAAGUAAGGGCCGGAAGAGGGCACCAGACCUGAUUAUAAGUGGUUGUGAGCCACCAUGUGGUUGCUGGGAAUUGAACUCAGGACCUCUGGAAGAGCAGACAGCGCUCUUAACCUCUGAGCCAUCUCUCCAGCCCGAAUGUUUCUCAUUCUUAGAGGUUUGGAAAUGCCUGGCUGUCUGUCCUUUCCCCCGGAGUGGUCAGUGUUCUAUAGAUCUUUUAAUGAAUUUAGACAUUCUGAACAUCUAGUUGGCUCCAAAUUGUGAACCACAGGAUGAGUAUUCAGUGGGCAUGAGAGAUUGAGAACAUUCUACCACACCAUAAACCUUGGUGUAGAUCACUUCCUAUUCUGUGGAUUGAAGCCAGAGAGCACAAUGAGUACAAGAAAUCCUCAAAGAAAGCGGCGUGGUGGAGCUGUGAAUUCUAGACAAACCCAGAAGCGAACUCGGGAAACAACUUCAACCCCUGAGAUUUCCUUGGAAGCAGAACCCAUAGAACUUGUGGAAACCGUUGGAGAUGAAAUCGUGGACCUCACCUGUGAAUCUUUAGAGCCUGUGGUUGUGGACCUGACUCACAAUGACUCUGUUGUGGUUCCUUAGAAAGGAGAAGGCCAAGGAGAAAUGGGAGGAGGUUGCGCCAAGACCAUGCUGACAGCUGUGUGGUGAGCAGUGAUGAUGAAGAACUGUCUAAGGACAAAGAUGUAUACGUGACUACCCAUACUCCUCGAAGCACCAAGGAUGA